rnacentral:rRNA from 1 species
CCUACGGGUGGCAGCAGUAGGGAAUAUUGCUCAAUGGGGGAAACCCUGAUGCAGCAACGCCGCGUGGAUGAUGAAGUAUUUCGGAUUGUAAAGCUCUAUUUUUAGAGAAGAAAAUGACGGUAUCUAACGAAUAAGCACCGGCUAACUACGUGCCAGCAGCCGCGGUAAUACGGAGGGGGCAAGCGUUACCCGGAUUUACUGGGUGUAAAGAGAGCGUAGACGGGAUAGCAAGUCAGAUGUGAAAUGCUAGGGCUUAACCCUAGAACUGCAUUUGAAACUGUUCUUCUAGAGUAUAGGAGAGGUAGGUGGAAUGCCUGGUGUAGGGGUGAAAUGCGUAGAGAUGAGGAGGAAUACUCGUGGCGAAGGCGACUUGCUAGACCAUAACUGACGUUGAUGCGCGAAAGCGUGGGGAGCAAACAGGAUUAGAUACCCCAGUAGUC